CUAAGCCAUGCGAGUCGAGAGGGUUCGGCCCUCGGCGGACUGCUCAGUAACACGUGGAUAAUUUGCCCUUAGGUGGAGGAUAAUCUCGGGAAACUGAGAAUAAUACUCCAUAGAUCUAGGAUGCUGGAAUGCACUUAGAUUGAAAGUUCCGGCGCCUAAGGAUAAGUCUGCGGACUAUCAGGUUGUAGUCAGGGUAAAGACCUGACUAGCCUACAACGGAUACGGGUUGUGAGAGCAAUAACCCGGAGACGAUAUCUGAGACACGAUAUCGGGCCCUACGGGGCGCAGCAGGCGCGAAACCUUCACACUGCGCGAAAGCGCGAUAAGGGGAUCCCAAGUGCCAGCUCGUAAGAGUUGGCUGUUUCUCUGUCUAAAAAGCAGAGAGAGUAAGGGCUGGGUAAGGCGGGUGCCAGCCGCCGCGGUAA
rnacentral:rRNA from 1 species